CCUACGGGCGGCAGCAGUGAGGAAUAUUGGUCAAUGGACGAGAGUCUGAACCAGCCAAGUAGCGUGAAGGAUGACUGCCCUAUGGGUUGUAAACAUCUUUUAUAAAGGAAUAAAACGAGGCACGUGUGCCUUUUUGCAUUUACUUUAUGAAUAAGGAUCGGCUAACUCCGUGCCAGCAGCCGCGGUAAUACGGAGGAUCCGAGCGUUAUCCGGAUUUAUUGGGUUUAAAGGGAGCGUAGAUGGGUUGUUAAGUCAGUUGUGAAAGUUUGGGGCUCAACCGGAAAAUUGCAAUUGAUACUGGCAGUCUUGAGUACAGUUGAGGUAGGCGGAAUUCGUGGUGUAGCGGUGAAAUGCGUAGAUAUCACGAAGAACCCCGAUUGCGAAGGCAGCUUACUAAACUGUGACUGACAUUGAUGCUCGAAAGUGUGGGUAGCAAACAGGAUUAGAUACCCUAGUAGUC
rnacentral:rRNA from 1 species